UAGAGGUAUAUUCUGAAUCUGCUGUGGCGA
rnacentral:piRNA from 1 species